GACGAACGCUGGCGGUGUGCUUAACACAUGCAAGUCGAGCGGAGCGGCGAACGGGUGAGUAACGCGUGAGUAACUGCCCCCCUCUCUGGGAUAACAGUUGGAAACGGCUGCUAAUACCGGAUAGUGGGGGAUGACUCGCGUCCUAUCAGCUUGUUGGUGGGGUAGUGGCCUACCAAGGCGACGACGGGUAGCCGGCCUGAGAGGGCGACCGGCCACAUUGGGCUGAGAUACGGCCCAAACUCCUACGGGAGGCAGCAGUGGGGAAUAUUGCACAAUGGGGGAAACCCUGAUGCAGCAACGCCGCGUGCGGGAUGACGGCCUUCGGGUUGUAAACCGCUGUUAUUAGGGAAGAAGUAAUUGUGCACAUCUUGACGGUACCUAAUCAGAAAGCCACGGCUAACUACGUGCCAGCCGCCGCGGUAAUUC
rnacentral:rRNA from 1 species